GCCGGAUGCGGUGGCACGUGCCUGUAGUCCCAGCUACUCAGGAGGUUGAGGUGGGAGGAUCGCUUGAGCCCAGGAGUUCUGGGCUGUAGUGCGCUAUGCCGAUCGGGUGUCCGCACUAAGUUCGGCAUCAAUAUGGUGUCCUCCCGGGAGUCGGGGACCACCAGGUUGCCUAAGGAGGUGUGAACUGGCCCAGGUUGGAAAUGGAGCAGGUCAAAACUCCCAUUCUGAUCGGUAGUGGGAUCAUGCCUGUAAAUAGCCACUGCACUCCAGCCUGGGCAACAUAGGGGGACCCCAUCUCU
rnacentral:SRP_RNA from 1 species